rnacentral:misc_RNA from 1 species
GAUGAAGAACGCAGCGAAAUGCGAUAAGUAAUGUGAAUUGCAGAAUCCAGUGAAUCAUCGAAUCUUUGAACGCACAUUGCGCCCGCCAGCAUUCUGGCGGGCAUGCCUGUUCGAGCGUCAUUUCAACCCUCGACCUCCCUUUGGGGAAGUCGGCGUUGGGGACCGGCAGCACACCGCCGGCCCUGAAAUGGAGUGGCGGCCCGUCCGCGGCGACCUCUGCGUAGUAAUCCAACUCGCACCGGAACCCCGACGCGGCCACGCCGUAAAACACCCAACUUCUGAACGUUGACCUCGAAUCAGGUAGGACUACCCGCUGAACUUAAGCAUACAAUAAGCGGAGGA